GAGGUGGCGGGGUCUGGCCCAGGUUGGCUUGUGGGAGCCCUGGACCCUGCUGGGUCUGUGAGGUGUCCCCACCGCUGACCAGCACCCCCGGGGCCCAGGCGUGUGACUUCCCUGGGGGCCCUGAUGGAGCAGCCUCCUCCCUGUGGCGCAUUUGCAAUUCAUGGCUCCAGCCGAGAUUGCAUUAGGGCCUGGCUGUCACUCGUGAUGAAUGUCGCUUGUUUUCCAGAAAAAAACAGGCCCUGGAUCCAGAGUGACAGGGCUUCGGGGGGCACCAGCCCUCCCUUCCGUGUCUGAGGACCGGGACAUGGCGGGUGUCCCCAGUGGUCUGUCAGCAGCCUCAGAGCCUGACUCCUUCGGGGGCUUUCUAGGAUCCCAAAUAGGAGCUCUCCCCCAGUUCCGGCUCCCAGGCCUAUCUUCCCAUCCCUCGGGUUCUCUCAACAGCCCUGUGGGAGGAAUGCUGCUAGAGCAGCUCCACUGGACAGAUGAGCAAACUGAGGCCUGCAGGAAAAGGGAAGGGCCAGAGGAACAGCUCUGGAUCCACGUCAGCGACCCCACUCCCUCCACCACAGCCCCAGUCCCCAGUGUCUGGAGGCCAAACAGUUUUCCAGAAGCCAACCCUGCUGAGUCCCUGGCCCUUCCCUGUAUGGAUAGAUGUUGGUCCCAUCUCCUACGAUGUGAACAGCUGAACUGCAUUCUGGAGCAGGCCAGAAGCCAAGGCUCAGAGGCAACAUUGUCCCCACCUCCAACUGCACCUUCCAAGCGAGGCAUGGAGCCAGGCAAAGAGAACACUGGCUCUAGAAUGAGCUGGGUUCAAAUCCCAGCACUGUCCCCUCAUAGCUGGGUGACCUUGGACAAAUGGCUUCCCCACUUUGAGCUUCAGUUUUCUCAUCUGUAAAAUGGGCAUGGCCACGUCUCACAUCACACAGCGGCUAUGGGGCUCCCGGGAGCUACAUGUAGGCGUUGGAUUCUACACACUGGGUGUGUGGGCACCAUCCCUCCAGGUCCUGGGUCCCCAUCCACCCCUGUCAUCUGUGCCUGCUGCUGUGCCACUUCUACCACCAUCUACCAGCUGUGCCUGCCGCCAUCGGGGCACCAUGCCCAGCCCCAUACACCCUGGGGGCCCUGCCAUGCCCUGUCCUCCCCACAGCCCACACCAUCCAGCCUGCUUCAGGCUCCCAGAUGAGAAGACUCCAGCAACACCCCCAGGUCCCAAGGGCACCCUCUUUAUCUUCACCCACGGGGGCCUUCUGCACCCCCAGGGACUCCUCAUCAAGAUCUGGGACCCAGGGGCCAAUCUGGAAGCCCCUCUGCUCCCAGAGGGCAGCCCCCGCCCCUCCACUACUCUACCCGGUUCGUACCACUUCCUGCCGCAGCCCUGCGUCUAUUUCAUCAGGCCAAGGAUUGCUUUUUAAAUAAAUCUAAAAAACUCCA